rnacentral:tRNA from 2 species
GAGGGGCAAGGGGCCGGAGCCCCGGCCGGUCUGCAAAACCGGUGCAGGAAUAAAUGCCUUAGAGGCAUUUCCGGUGGGUUCGACUCCCACUGUCUCUCUCCA